rnacentral:hammerhead_ribozyme from 1 species
GCGCUGCUGGGGAGUCCAACAAUAGGACGAAACGGUCGUCCAGUGC